UGGGGGAUAUUGCACAAUGGGGGAAACCCUGAUGCAGCGACGCCGCGUGAGUGAAGAAGUAUUUCGGUAUGUAAAGCUCUAUCAGCAGGGAAGAAACUGACGGUACCUGACUAAGAAGCCCCGGCUAACUACGUGCCAGCAGCCGCGGUAAUACGUAGGGGGCAAGCGUUAUCCGGAUUUACUGGGUGUAAAGGGAGCGUAGACGGUAUUGCAAGUCUGAAGUGAAAUCCCGGGGCUCAACCCCGGAGCUGCUUUGGAAACUGUAAAACUAGAGUGCUGGAGAGGUAAGCGGAAUUCCUAGUGUAGCGGUGAAAUGCGUAGAUAUUAGGAGGAACACCAGUGGCGAAGGCGGCUUACUGGACAGUCACUGACGUUGAGGCUCGAAAGCGUGGGGAGCAAACAGG
rnacentral:rRNA from 1 species